rnacentral:misc_RNA from 1 species
UAAAAAGUUAAAUAGUACGGUGUCUAAACUUUUGCUAAAUGGUUCUCACACUAAUUCAUGUAGUAGGCCAAAGUUCCUAAAGAAGUAUUUGUAUGGCAUUACAUAUCAUCCAGACGCACACAAGUGCGGUUCUAAUGCUAUGAACUUUGCAACAUCAAGGUGCACUCUGUGGUCAAAAUAUCACGAUCUAUUUAAGUUACAGUGAUAAUACAGUUGUACAAAUACUGAAGCUGACAAAACGCCACCUGAUUCAAAAGAAGAAGGCAAUGCAUUGAGUGGUUCAACGAACCAAAUAGGUACAAUGCUACAUAAUACUAUGAAGCAUAACUGCUGUAGGCAUUCCUUGCAUCCCACAAAAUGAAGCUUCUACUAAUGGUCUUUUAUCGUCAAAGAACAUCAAAGGUUGCCAUGAGUUCAUUUUCAUAUUUUUCUACACUUGUUCACCUAGUAGCCAAGUAGCAUUCCACUCUAGCCACUUCCAUCGAGUUCUCCAUGAGAAAGAAGGUGUGCCAUAUAUUGCUGCAAAGACAUAAAUAUGAAUUCAUAACUUAGAGUGCUAGAGUGCAGAAGCAAAAGAAUUCAUGAAGACGGUAUUGACAGGCUAAAUUUUCUACCACCUCAUAUUAUUACAACAGUAACAACUAAGAUAUAAUCCCAAACUAGUUAGGAUCGGUUAAAUGAAUCAUUUUUCACUAUUCAACUCUGUUAGACACCAAGUCCGAAUCAAUAUCCAAAACUUUUAAACACCACUUCCACCACCUCAUAUUAGGUAGAAUCAAAUUGUGAACAAGGAAGUUGCACUAGAAGCACUGGAACAUUGGCAAGUACAUUAGAAAAAGGGACACAUCUUAAUAUCUUCUCCAAAAGCAAUGGGGGUCUCUUUGAAACCAAAUCAAUUAAAAAAUAUUCAAUUCAUUAAUAAAAAAGAGAACAUGAUCAGGUGAAAAUCUUCCCUAUGAAAUUUUAUACCAAGCCUUGGUUCUCAGAUUCACAAUCACUCAUCCAAAUCACUUCCAAACAUGAAGCAGCGGCAAUUCUUAAAGGCUGUACUCCUUGAAAAUGCAUGCAAAAUUCUCUUAAUAAUUUUAAAUAUCAUAAACUGCAAUAUUCUACCAGGGAAAUAUUAGCAAAAAUAAGGACUCAACUUCAUUGGAAUUUGGAUCUUUACUCCAGUUGAGUAGAAGAUGUUCAUUGGAUCCUAUUGCUUGGAGCUCAACUAUACACCUGAAAGAUGUCUGAAUAAUCUUCUCACUAUAACUGGGCCAUGAGUACCAUCAAUGCAAGGAUUCAUUCAACGCUCACGUUGCAUGAUAGGCAUACGGGGAUUUCCCUUGGCGAUCAAAGUGCUUAGCCAUGAUGCAGAACUCUAUUGGACCCCACUCCUCUGAUUCAAAGCAAUUGCCAAAUGCAGCUUUAUAUAACUUAGCUGUAUCCGUUAAAAGUUCAGUUCCGGCAGGGUAAGAUGCGUAAAAUUGAUCAGCUCUAGAAUACCCAGCUCUAGUUCUGAUGGGGAAAAUGACAGUGAUAGCAAAACAAAUAACAAUAGACAUUUGGUUAACUAUAGAUUGCUUGGCUCUAGUUCUAUAAAACCAAAAUAGUAAAACCAACCAAAUAGGUAAACAUGAUGAUAAAAAAACCAUAUAGGCAAACAUUACACAUCAAGUUUCAGCACUAGCCUUUAGCUCAAUGAUAGCAAUUAAAGUUAAAACAACAAAACCAAGAAAAAAUACCCAUUUAAAUAUCAAAAUCCAAACACAUUUUCUUCAUUAUAUACUUGUAUGGGAUGGUAACUCACGUGUUGCUUGUAUAAGCAUAGCUUAAGACAGCAACAAAGCAGUAAAACCCAGUGUAAGAUACGAUUCUGCGAAACUUCUGAAUCUUUAGUAUUUCUUUAAACCCAUCGUAGAGCAUCAUGAUUGGCGAAAUGCACCUGAAAUACAAUGUGCAACCAAGGAGUAAUAUCGAGACUUUUAAGCGAACAGAUUGUGUGCACAAAUAUAUAAGAUUGUUUAUGAAUAAUACCAUGCCAAAGCACUUUACAAGUUGAAUGAAGAAAAAUUGAGCCGAUCCAAACUAGUGAGCCAAUUUUACUGACUAAGCGGUUAACCGGCUUUUUGGUGCUAGACUUGAUGGUUGAUGUCUGGCAACCGGUGAGAGAUUAACAGAGUGACGGAGAAGAGAAGCAACGGUGGCGUGCGGUUGCCGCCGGCAGUAAUAACCAAUAGAAUGAAGAUGCUGGAAGUAACGGCUGUAGCCGUAGUGACCAGUAACUUGCGGAUAGAGGUCGGUGCUAGGGGUGGGAGAUUGA